rnacentral:rRNA from 1 species
AUUAGAGGCUGGUAUGAAUGGUUAGACGGAGAGUUGACUGUCUCUUCAAAAUUUUAAGAAUUUAAAUUCUAGGUUAAAAUGCCUAGAUAUUAUUGAAAGACGAGAAGACCCUAGCGAGCUUUAUUUUUAACGCUAGAAAUAAGUAGAUGUUUAAACUUUUGUUGGGGCGACUGAGGAGAUGGAGCUUCCUUUAUAAAAUGAAAAAUAAUGGUUAAGGAUCCAGUGUAAUUACUGAAAAACAGGGGAGCUACCGUAGGGAUAACAGCGUAAUCCUUUUAGAGAGUUCUUAUCGAAAAAAGUGUUUGCGACCUCGAUGUUGGACUAGGAUAUCCUAAAGGUGUAGAGGCUUUUAAGGGUUGGUCUGUUCGACCAAUAAAAUCCUACAUGAUCUGAGUUCAAACCGGA